rnacentral:lncRNA from 1 species
CCGGUCACUGCCGUCUCUCUGCCAUCCUCAGCCCCCCGAUUCCUCUCUAAGGGGUUUCCCCGCCAAGUCCUCCACCUCAGAGGCCAUUCUCGAGAGGAUGCCAAGGACUUAGAGGAAGGCAAGGAGGAGAACAGCGGUCUGCGAGUUCUUCGGUCAUCGAGCGGCUGCUGCAGGUCCCUGUCGCUUCAAAGGGGGCUUGGGGAAGAAUUCCUUCAACAACAGGAGUUUAAUAACGGGGACCGCUGGUAAAGACGUUCUGCCUGAGAAUUUUGAAGUAGCAAGACGGGGUGACAUC